GAGUUUGAUCGUGGCUCAGAACGAACGCUGGCGGCAUGCCUAACACAUGCAAGUCGAACGGGAUCCGGACUUCGGUUCGGUGAGAGUGGCGGACGGGUGAGUAACGCGUGGGAACCUGCCCAGUGGUGGGGGAUAACUGCGGGAAACUGCAGCUAAUACCGCAUGAGCCCGAGAGGGGAAAGAUUUAUCGCCAUUGGAGGGGCCCGCGUUCGAUUAGGUAGUUGGUGGGUAAAGGCCUACCAAGCCGACGAUCGAUAGCUGGUCUGAGAGGAUGAUCAGCCACACUGGGACUGAGAUACGGCCCAGACUCCUACGGGAGGCAGCAGUGGGGAAUAUUGGACAAUGGGGGCAACCCUGAUCCAGCAAUGCCGCGUGAGUGAUGAAGGCCUUGGUUGUAAAGCUCUUUUGGUCGGGACGAGUGAUGACGGUACCGCAGAAUAAGCCCGC
rnacentral:rRNA from 1 species